CCGAACCUAUAGUAACAAACAAAAUCAAGAAAGCCCUUUCUCUUUCCCCUCUUAUCAUCUCCGCUGGCUUCCUGAGAGUCCUGCCGUCUCUGCCCCCUGCCUUCAUGAGGGACGAAGGAAGAAUAUGGCGCAGUGCGAGCGGCUUCCGGCGAGAACUGCGACCGCUGCCGUGGCCGUGCAUUGCGCAGAGCGGGACGUGCCCGCCCGCGCUCUACCGGGAGCGGCUUGCCUGCCCGGCGCGAAGCGCAAAGUCCGCGCGACGGGGAGCAGCCAAGCAGGUGGUCGACGCGAAUCGCGGCGCGUCCUGGGUGGGAGCGGAUCGGGCGGUGCGAGCGCUGAUCAUGGGCUUGGAACCGGCGAUUUGGGGAAGAGAUAAGGAUGCUGCCGGUGAUUGCGGGUAAGGUUGGGGAGGGGUAAAAUCGGAAGAACGACGUCGAUCACAUCUGUUUUAACGGCGUUGAGCUCUAUUUUCCGUCAAAAAUAACGUCUAAUGCUAUGUAAGGGAUGAAGUUAAAUUUUCAAUGGUACCGAAGGAAUUAUUUAAAUUUUAA